CGUGAAAAUGGGAUAAAAUCCUAAUUGGCAUUAAAAUUAGAAAGAUCAUAUCAUAGGGAACAUGUUUACUAAGUUUCAAGUUGAUUGGACUUCAAAUUCAUCAAAAACUACCUCCACCAAAAACUUAAACCUGAAGUGGGACGAACGGAUGAACAGACGAAAGAAUGAACAAACAGAAGGACGGACGCAUAGACCAGAAAACAUAAUGCCCAUAAAUGAGGCAUAAAAAAAACAGAACUCUUUUCACAAAAAUCAGAUGAUUGAAAUUGAUUGUAAGUUACUGAAAUGUGUAGCAAGUAUUUUUAUUCUUAAGAUUUUAUUGUGAAAAGAACAGCUGAAUUGCCAGAAUACAAGUCAUAGUGAUUGAUUUUCUUUGUUUUCAAACACUCCUGGACUGAUAAACUAGUCUUUGUUGUUGACAAAUCACUUUUAUUUAUAUGAUGUUUGUAGA
rnacentral:lncRNA from 1 species